rnacentral:rRNA from 1 species
GCUUACGGCCAUACCACCCUGAACACGCCCGAUCUCGUCCGAUCUCGGAAGCUAAGCGGGAUCGGGCCUGGUUAGUACUUGGAUGGGAGACCGCCUGGGAAUACCAGGUGCUGUAAGCU